CUCGUAUUUGUGUGAUGAUUUGGAGACUUUACAACAAAUGACUGUAGCUCUGGAAAAUAUGACACAAACAAUUGAACAACUGUGCAAGAGAGAGAAUGGACUGAUUCUUAAUAAACUGGAUGACAUUGUUAUGCAUAAAAAACAUGAUCUUAGGGCACUGCCAGUUCGAAAGCACAAAUCAAAACUGUCCAGAAAACGAAAAUGGACCCAAGCUCCCUUGUCGCCCCUAAUCGAACAUUGCGAGGAGGAGACACUGGGCCACAGCUCUUCUGCUGUCCUGCACGGAGCUCGGCAAAAAAAUCCCUAGCUAACCCUAAAUAUUUAUAUUAAACCAUUUUGCAACAG